rnacentral:tRNA from 1 species
GCGAAAUAGCUCUGUUGGUAGAGCGGUAGACUAUAGAUUGAAAGAUCCCUAGUUCGAUCCCGGGAUUGGGCA